rnacentral:rRNA from 1 species
GCCAGACUCCUACGGGAGGCAGCAGUGGGGAAUAUUGGACAAUGGGGGGAACCCUGAUCCAGCGACGCCGCGUGAGUGAAGAAGUAUUUCGGUAUGUAAAGCUCUAUCAGCAGGGAAGAAAAUGACGGUACCUGACUAAGAAGCCCCGGCUAACUACGUGCCAGCAGCCGCGGUAAUACGUAGGGGGCAAGCGUUAUCCGGAUUUACUGGGUGUAAAGGGAGCGUAGACGGCAUGGCAAGUCUGAAGUGAAAGCCCGGGGCUCAACCGCGGGACUGCUUUGGAAACUGUUAAGCUGGAGUGCAGGAGAGGGAAGGGGAAUUCCUAGUGUAGCGGUGAAAUGCGUAGAUAUUAGGAGGAACACCAGUGGCGAAGGCGGCUUACUGGACUGUAACUGACGUUGAGGCUCGAAAGCGUGGGGAGCAAACAGGAUUAGAUACCCUCGUAU